UAUCAGGAUCUUUGCCUCAUCAGCUAGCAUGUAAGCCUCAUGACAUGACCUAGAAUCUCUCUCGGUUCUUCAUAAUGUGGGAUCAUACACGAUGAGAUGUGCCUACUAGAGGGGGGUGGAGAGUGAGAUUAACAAAAUCCAUAUCUUUUUGCAUAAAAAGAAGAUGACUCUAUUUAGAUGAAGUCAUAGCUCUCUCUGGAAGCAACCGGCUAGACUUCCUCUUUCACUCUCGUCUGACCACUUUUCUCUAGCUGGUCCAACCAAUAGUAUGUCAUUGGUCCGACCGCUGCAAUGUUGUAGGUCCAACCGUCUUGAUCUCACUAGUGCAACUGCUCGCAA
rnacentral:lncRNA from 1 species